GAGCGCGGCCCAGAGCGGCCGCCGGUUUCGCCCUCUCCCGCCCGGGAGGGCACCGCGCGCCGCCGGUGUCCCCGCUGGCGGUUGUCCCGAGGAGACGGGGGCGGGGCCGCCCCGGGCGGGACUCGGGGCUGCGGACACACAGGGGCCGGGCUCGGCGGGCCCAGGGCCGGCAGCCGCUGUCGGUGGCUUCAGCCCGCGGCCCAGCGCGACACCGGGCCCGACACCGGCCGAGCCGGUGACGUGAGGUCGGUGCCGGCAUCACGAGCUACAACCGGCCUUUUUUGUUGUUGUUGUUGUUGUUGAAGCCAAGCAGCUAGCUCAAUGCGUAGGCAGGAAGCGAUACGGAGAGAGCUGAGCUCCCGGAACGGCCCGAUGCCGUCCUCCGUGAUGCUCCCUGGUUUUGCCUACACAAGCACGACCCGUAUGGUGUGACGUGCUUGGAAAACAACCUAAAAAAGACUGGCCAUGGACAACCUGCACAGAAAGACGCUGCCUGCGGGGCCCAGCGCGUUGGGAAUCAUUGGGAGGACUAGAUCCUCCCAACAGCUUCCAUAGAAAGGCGAGAACGUGCUUCUUGGAUCUGCGGCGGCCGCAGAGCUGGAACACACCGGCAGAAUCCAAAGCAACUCUGCGAGACGGAAAAGAUCUGCGAGAAGGACGAAAGGGACAUGAGAUGGAGAAAGCAGGGAAGACAAGUUCAAGAAGCAGAGCCAUCUCUCUGCAUCCAAGAAGCUGGUGGCACAAACAACAAGCCUGGCUAGAGUGAACUCCCAUUUCAAGCACAGUUGGCUACCCGCUGGCUUCAAAAGAGCAGACUAUUUGUUAAUGAUAUAAAAUACAGCAACCAUUUAAGAUGCAGCAAGGCAAGGCUACAGGGCUGGGGUUUAUGAACGAUGCCAGAAGCUACACAGCAGUGUUAAAAACUGUGAAAAGGCUGUUAAAUGGCAGGAGUUAGCCAUGUGCUGCUCCUGGAAGGCCUUUUCCCUCCAACACCCCUCCAUCAUGCCGUUGGUGUGAUGCGUUUGUAAAGGUGGAGAGAGGGGGAUUUGCCCUGCGGGAGAAGCCUCACAGGCUGGCCACAGAACAUGAGGGCAGUCUGAUCUGGUCUCACAGAUCCCAUGUUCCUAGCCUGACACUGAGCUUCCAUCAGCAAGCAGACAUUCAGGUCCUUCAACAGAAGUUAAUCCCCUUCUACCUUCCUAAUUUGUAGGAGUGAAAGAAGUCCAGCGGAGUCAAGCUGGAAAGCACAAACAGGGAUGAAAACAACCAGUUUGCAUACUGAUCUUUGUAUAAUGACCCCCCCCACCCUCACAGCUCACUCUUCCCCAAAUAAAGACACAUUGUUCAAUGGCA